AUUUUUUUUUUUUUUUUUUUUUUUAAGUUUUAAUUUGUUGUAAUGUUGAUUCUGUCUGUUCGAGUGGGAUGUGUAUACACUUCAGCACAACAUAGUCAUCUUCUUUUUUUUUUUUAAUUAAAGUCUUUAUUUUACAAGAAUGUUUCAUUUUAAUGUUGAAAGAUUUCAAGUUUAUAGUUAUUUAAUGCUAAUACCAGUAUACAUCUAGGUUUAAUUUAUGGUAAAUAAUGUCUCUAAUAAUACACACACUGAUAUUACCUUCUUGUAGAAACCUGUUAGAUACACUAAUUAUUAUAUUCUACUUUUAUGUAUUGAGGGACUUCUGAAGCUUUGUAGCAUUGCUUAUUUAAGUCGUUUCCAUUUGUAAAACUUAUAUCUAUUUCUGAAUUUUAAUUUUCCUACAAGGCUUUCAAUACCCCCCCCCCC